rnacentral:tRNA from 1 species
GCUAAGUUAGUUUACUAAAAAUACCAGCCUGUGGAUCUGGAGAAGAAAGAUAAAUUUCACUUAGCC